UACGUAGGCAGCAAGCGUUGUUCGGAGUUACUGGGCGUAAAGGGUGCGUAGGCGGCUUCUUAAGUCUGGUGUGAAAUCUCCCGGCUCAACUGGGAGGGUGCGCCGGAUACUGAGGGGCUAGAGUGUGGGAGAGGAAAGUGGAAUUCCUGGUGUAGCGGUGAAAUGCGUAGAUAUCCGGAGGAACACCAGUGGCGAAGGCGACACGCUGGGCCGUACCUGACACUGAUGCGCGACAGCAUGGGGAGCAAACAGG
rnacentral:rRNA from 1 species